GUUACUUUGCUUUUUCUGGCCGUUCUGCACACUCUGCGCAGCCUGACAAUAUGACCGUUGGUGGGUUGGAGUCGACUCGCGCGAUCAGGAGUCGACUCGGCUGUAGCAGGAGUCGACUCACGCUUUUCCGGAGUCGACUCGGCAACUGUUCCAAAUUUGAAUUAAAGUUGCCGUCUUGACUGGGAGUCGACUCGUCUUGACCUGGAGUCGACUCGCCAACUUUUGGAGUUGACCUGGCAAUUUUUGGAGUCGGCUCAUCUACUGAAGUCCGUGGAUCCAAAUUUGAAUUUUGUCCACUCGAGUCGACUCGACUGUCCUGGGAGUCGACUCGAAUCUCAGAGCCCGAACUCUCGAUUCUCUGUCGUUUGGCUCAUCCAGUCUUGGAGUCGACUCGAACCUCCUUGGAGUCGACUCGGCUCUCAGUUUCCGAAAGUUGGUCUUCUGCCUUUUGACGUGUAGCUUGUCUUGGAGUCGACCCGAGCUGUCUGGGAGUCGACUCGAAUCUCAGAGGCAGUAACAUGGUCUUCUGUCUGUUGAUGGUCGCUCAGUCUCGGAGUCGACUCGUGUACUGCGGGAGUCGACUCGAAUCUCAGAGUCCGAAAAUCGUUCUCUGACUUUUUCUGCCUGUGACUGCUUGGAGUCGACUCUUACUUCCCUGGAGUCGACUCGCGCACUUCAGGAGUCGACUCGUUGACAGGUUCUGAGAUGAAGCUUUCUGUUCCUCUUUCUGUUCUCAGUCGGAGUCGACUCGUACUAAUCUGGAGUCGACUCGAGCUCGUGCCAGUGAAUUUGAUACGCUUGGAGUCGACUCGUGAUACUCGGGAGUCGACUCGAGUCUCAGACAUUGGUUCAUGCAGACUUCUUAACUUAUCCAAAAUACUAUGAACCAAGUCUAGAAACACUUGGACAGGAUUUUCACUGAAACACUCAAUUGAAUUCAUUAGUAAUCACAAGAUAUACUCAAUUGCUUUGAGCUCAUCAAAAUCAAAUGGAGUUUUAAUCAAUCAC
rnacentral:lncRNA from 1 species